UGUUGCAUAGCGACAUAGUGGUUAAGGAGCAGGGCUUGAAACCCAGAGGUUGCUGGUUCAAUUCCCCCCGGGACAC